rnacentral:rRNA from 1 species
UACAGAGGGUGCGAGCGUUAAUCGGAAUUACUGGGCGUAAAGCGUGCGCAGACGGUUGCGUAAGUCAGAUGUGAAAGCCCCGGGCUCAACCUGGGAAUUGCAUUUGAGACUGCGUAGCUAGGGUGCGGAAGAGGGAAGCGGAAUUUCCGGUGUAGCGGUGAAAUGCGUAGAUAUCGGAAGGAACACCAGUGGCGAAAGCG